CCUCUCUCCUCAGGAUGUUCUGGCAUCGAAGAACAGCACCAUCAAGGACCUGCAGUACGAGCUGGCCCGGGUCUGCAAGGCUCACAACGACUUGCUGCGCACAUACGAGGCCAAACUGCUGGCCUUUGGGAUCCCCCUGGACAGCGUGGGCUUCAAGCCCCUGGAGACAGCUGUGAUUGGACAGACGUUGGGCCAAGGCCCUGCAGGACUCGUGGGCUCGCCGACCUAGCUGCCUUGCCCAAGGCCCUCCAACGCUCUUUUCCACUAUGUGCCGGCCGGCACAUAAUCCUCCCAGUCCUCCUAAUCUCCGCUGUGACAGGUAGCUUCUGUCUGGAUUUUCAGCAGCCAAUGAAGAUUUUCCACAUGGCCUUGUCUUCUUGCCUGGCUCUGCAUGGCUUCAGCCCGCCAUGUCCCAGUUGUUUUCCUUCCCUGGUGCCCAUGGUCUCCACUCCACUUCUGCCUCCACCCACAGUCAGCAGUGCUUGGAGGGCCCUUCAUUCACCUGUGCACUGGCUGAGGCCAACAUAGCACUACCCCCCUGCGUUACUUCUGACACAAUGAGUGGGGUGGCUUUGUAGAUGGCAACAUAGAAUUUAUUGACACCCAAGGGAAACUUGAGGGGGACAGAGUCUUCCCCAGCAAGCAGGUGAUCCCAGUCCCCCAUGAUGGUCACUAGCCCUCUGUGGAAGUUGGUUGGGUCAGACCACCUCCCUGAGCCAUACUUAGCUCUAGCUCCCUCGGUAGGUGGUGUAGGACCAUGGGCUCAACAGCAGAGGCACGUGGAACUUUUGGGUCUCAUUUGUGAUGGUGAAGACAAUCUGAGAGAGGCAAAGAAGACACCAGAAGAUGGUAAGGGGCCAGAGUUUGACAGCUGCCGACCCUAGUCCUCUUGGGCAGAGGAUGGGGUGAAUCUUCCCUGGGCAAGUGCUACUCUUAGGGGGACAGCGCCUGCAGUGGUCAGGGCCUCUGAUUCCACUGGCAUGUCCAGAACUGGAAAUGCCUGGUGCUCUGAUGGCAACUCCUGUAAUAAAGGAGUUAGGAAGGUUA